CCUACGGGUGGCAGCAGUGAGGAAUAUUGGUCAAUGGGCGCGAGCCUGAACCAGCAAAGCAGCGUGAAGGAUGAAUGCCCUACGGGUUGUAAACUUCUUUUAUAAAGGAAUAAAGUGAGGUACGUGUGCCUUUUUGUAUGUACUUUAUGAAUAAAGAUCGGCUAACUCCGUACCAGCAGCCGCGGGAAUACGGUGGAUCCGAGAGUUAUCCGGUAUUGUUUGUUUGAAAGGGAGCGUAGAUGGGUUGUUAAGUCAGUUGUGAAAGUUUGCGGCUCAACCGUAAAAUUGCAAUUGAUACUGGCAAUCUUUAGUACAGUUGAGGUAAGCGGAAUUCGUUGUGUAGCGGUGAAAUGCGUAGAUAUCACGAAGAACUCCGAUUGCGAAGGCAGCUUACUAAACUGCAACUGACAUUGAUGCUCGAAAGUGUGGGUAUCAAACAGGAUUAGAUACCCCAGUAGUC
rnacentral:rRNA from 1 species